GUCCUAGAGGGUGAGAAUCCCGUAUGCGGCCGAUGGUCAGGCCCAUGUGAAGCCCUUUCGACGAGUCGAGUUGUUUGGGAAUGCAGCUCUAAAUGGGUGGUAAAUUUCAUCUAAAGCUAAAUAUCUGUCGAAGACCGAUAGCGCACAAGUAGAGUGAUCGAAAGAUGAAAAGCACUUUGAAAAGAGAGUCAAACAGUACGUGAAAUUGUUGAAAGGGAAGCGCUUGCAACCAGACUCGCUCGCGGGUGUUCAGCCGUCCCCAGGGGCGGUGCACUCUCCCGCGGCCGGGCCAGCAUCGGUUUGGGCGGUCGGAUAAAGGCCCCGGGAAUGUAGCUCUCUCCGGGGAGUGUUAAGCCCGGGGUGCAAUGCGGCCAGCCCGGACCGAGGACCGCGCAUUCGCUAGGAUGCUGGCGUAAUGGUUGCCAGCGACCCGUCUUGAAACACGGACCAAGGAGUCGACCAACCGCGCGAGUGUUUGGGUGUCAAACCCCCGGCGCGUAAUGAAAGUAAACGUAGGUGGGAGCCUUCGGGUGCACCAUCGACCGAUCCUGAUAUCUUUGGAUGGAUUUGAGUAAGAGCCCGGCUGGUCGGACCCGAAAGAUGGUGAACUAUGCGUGAAUAGGGUGAAGCCAGAGGAAACUCUGGUGGAGGCUCGCAACGGUUCUGACGUGCAAAUCGAUCGUCAAAUUUGCGCAUAGGGGCGAAAGAC
rnacentral:rRNA from 1 species